rnacentral:sRNA from 2 species
AGUUGCAACACCCCCGUGGGUUGGGUGCAGGUUUGAAAGAGCCGGCACAGUGAAUCCACUGCAACU